AGAUUGAACGCUGGCGGCAGGCCUAACACAUGCAAGUCGAGCGGUAGAGAGGUGCUUGCAUCUCUUGAGAGCGGCGGACGGGUGAGUAAUGCCUAGGAAUCUGCCUAGUGGUGGGGGAUAACGUUCGGAAACGGACGCUAAUACCGCAUACGUCCUACGGGAGAAAGCGGGGGACCUUCGGGCCUCGCGCCAUUAGAUGAGCCUAGGUCGGAUUAGCUAGUUGGUGAGGUAAUGGCUCACCAAGGCGACGAUCCGUAACUGGUCUGAGAGGAUGAUCAGUCACACUGGAACUGAGACACGGUCCAGACUCCUACGGGAGGCAGCAGUGGGGAAUAUUGGACAAUGGGCGAAAGCCUGAUCCAGCCAUGCCGCGUGUGUGAAGAAGGUCUUCGGAUUGUAAAGCAACUUUAAGUUGGGAGGUAAGGGUUGUAACCUAAUACGUUGCAACUUUGACGUUACCGACAGAAUAAGCAACCGGCUAACUUCGUAGCCAGCAGCCGUA
rnacentral:rRNA from 1 species